UACGAAGGGGGCUAGCGUUGCUCGGAAUCACUGGGCGUAAAGCGCACAUAGGCGGAUCUUUAAGUCAGGGGUGAAAUCCUGGAGCUCAACUCCAGAACUGCCUUUGAUACUGGGGAUCUCGAGUCCGGAAGAGGUGAGUGGAACUCCGAGUGUAGAGGUGAAAUUCGUAGAUAUUCGGAAGAACACCAGUGGCGAAGGCGGCUCACUGGUCCGGUACUGACGCUGAGGUGCGAAAGCGUGGGGAGCAAACAGG
rnacentral:rRNA from 1 species